GAAGUGGGAAAGAGGAAAGCAGAAGAGGAAGAAAAUUCUUUUAAUUCAAAGCACACAUUCAAAAAAAAAUUUUUUUUAAGUAAUUAAAAAAAAAAAGUCAGCCUAAAACUGUAUUGUUUUCCUCCUGAUCCUGUGUGGUUCUCUGUUGCUCUAGAUCUGGACACCGCACACACUCUAGGGUCUGAGCCUGUGGUUGUUACUGACACUUUACACUUCGUAAAUGCUAGUGGGAGUGUUACCUGUGCUUGGUGACACGGCUCGGGACUUAUCAUCCAGACAGGGUUCCAUACUGAUUCUUACAAGUGGAAGGAAAAGGCGUCCUGAAGGGAAACGAUGCACCGACUGACAGAGUCCAGCCUAGAGAAGCCUCACCUCCCUGGAGGAGGGCAGGGAAGACAGACGCCCCAGAGACAGACACCCUGGGGCUUCAGGUACGGUGGGUGGUUCAGGAUUAGGUAUUUGUAGCCCAGUGGGAUUCUUGAUGCCAGGACAAUCUGGUUCCAAGGCAGGCGUGUUUCUUUGCCUGUCGCUGGCUGCUCUUCCGGAGGAUGCUGCUUGCCCAGCAGCUCACAGGAACCGGUGCAGACAGCCUAAACGGAAGGUGCUUUCCUGUUCGGUGCCACCUGUCUGCUGUUAGCCGGUGAGCGGGCUUAGGCAGAAGGCUUUUGGGUUGGGUUGCUUUUUACUCAGCCAGCCUCACCUUGACCGGAACUCUACCUGGCACUCCCCUUUUGGAGUGGAGGCAGCUGGGCCAUCUGAGGUCGACUUCCCCCUCAGUCCCAGAUGCUGCACAGACCCCACCGGAGUAGUAGGGUUGUGGUUCUUGCUAUCCGUGAACCCUGUCGACGUGCGUGUGGGCCUCUUCCUUUCUUUUCUAGUCACCAUGUGCUCCACCUCCCCUACCUGUUUCCGCCCACCUCCUACAUUCCUGCCUCCAGAUGGAGAUGCAGGCUAGAGUCUGUGGAGAGACAGAAGCCUCCCAUCAGUGAUGGAGAGGGAGGCAGCUUUGGAAUCCCAUCCUCUGCCCCACCUUGGCUCAGUACUCAGGGGAAGCAGCGCUUUGGUCGUCAGCACUGCUUGGGGUCAAGGGCCAUAGCCAGCAGGCCGAAGCAGGUGGCUAUCUGGAGCAUAGGAGUUGGCCUGAGGUGGGGAAGAGAAGUGGCUGUCCGUCUGUAGGUGCCCUGGGUGUGUGGAGGGCUGCAUGCCUCACUCUCAUUCAGUCCUUUACUGUGCUGCUUCCCGAGGGAGCCGCCUGUAACAGCAACACUUCCAGCUCUCUACUGUGUGUUUGACAGGGAUGACAUGUGUCUGAGGCUGUACAUGGCCAGGGGUACUGUCAGCUGUGUCCAGCAAACACUUGGCUAAACUGUUGCUUGCAUCUGACUGUCUCUCCCAGGUCGGGGGGGCCACUCUGCCUGUGUGCCGUAAGAGCCCAGAAUGGUGGAGAAAGAGAAACCAGGGUGCCCUUGAGAGAUGAGGUGGGGGAAAGGAACACACAGGUCAGCCAACCCAGUGGACUGGAGGUCAGCUUGGUUCUUCCACUCAGGCCUGGGUUACAGUAGAAGUCCCUGCCUGCGCUCCUCAGUGCCCUUAGUGAGGAUUGUGGGUGGUCACAGAGGGGACUGUUGUACAUGUACAGGAAGAAAGGGUUACAAGGCCUCUGGGUGUGUGCAGCAGGCAGCAGGCUGCACUAGUGUUCGAGCAUCGACACAGUGGCAUUUCAUGUGGCUGCAGUACGUAAGGCCCCAUGCCUUCAUCCCAGAAAGGAAACGGCCCCUUUCAUUCCCGGGGCUGCCUCGUGGUUUCUGUGCAAGGAGCCCCUGAUACAGUCAGCACCAGCAGACCUGCUUCAGGAUCCAAGAAAGCUGGCUUUGUAGGCUGUCUUCAGUCUCAACAAGGAAAGGCCCUAUGCCCCACCACGCCUGGCUAACAGAAUGGGGCUAUCACUCCUCCUCCUCCUCCUCCUCCUCCUCCUCUUCCUCCUCCUCCUCCUCCUCUUCCUCCUCUUCUUCCUCUUCCUCCUCCUCUUCUUCCUCCUCCUCCUCCUCUUCCUCCUCCUCCUCUUCCUUUUGUUUUCUUUUGUUUUGUUUUUCAAUACAGGGUUUCUCCAGCCUUGGCUGUCCUGAAACUUGCUCUGUAGAUCAGGCUGGCCUUGAACUCACAGAGGUCCACCUGCCUCUGCCUCCCAAGUGCUGAGAUUAAAGUGGUGUGCCACCACCACCUGGCUGGCACUGUCACUCUUGCAUUGCUGGGGAGAUAGAUGGCAGCAGGACAGCUGUGGACAGGGGCUUGGUGUUCACAUCUGGGAAUAGUGGGCUAGGGAAAUGUCUGCACACCUGAGGGCAAGGGCAGGAGUGUGGCCCUCAGAUGCCUUUUAUCUUAAGGUAAAAUGAAACCCGUUCUUUCUUUAACCUUUGAGCUGUGUUUGCUGCGUCUAUGUGCCCUUGAUCCUUACAGAUCCUUUGAUUGAUUCAGGAAUGUUAUGAGUUCUUUGUAUAACUCAGCCUUGGGAUUUGAUUUGACUUAAUGGGCUUUUCUAGUAAGAACAUAAAAACUGAGACUAGUUUCAAAUCCAGUCACCCCCUGAGUCGCCCUCAGUAUGUGCUGCCCAUGUGACGAGCUACUUUUCCAUUGACAACAAAGAUCUAUUGUGAGUCCACGAUGGGCACAUUCUAACUUUCACAUGCUCAAACUGAAAUGUAUGUCAACGUGCGGAUUUCAUACAGCUCUUUAUAUACUGUGUAUAUUAAAACUAAAAUGACAUGAGGUGGCUUAAGUGUGUGGAGAAUAAAUCUAAAGUGUUUACU
rnacentral:lncRNA from 1 species